rnacentral:rRNA from 1 species
UUNCUNGCANNANGAAGCNCCGGCUAANUCCGUNCCAGCAGNNGNGGUAAUNCGGAGGGUGCAANNGUUANUCNGAAUUACUGGGCGUAAAGCGCACGCAGGCGGUUUNUUAAGUCAGAUGUGAAAUCCCCGAGNUNAACUUGGGAACUGCAUUUGAAACUGGCAAGCUAGAGUCUUGUAGAGGGGGGUAGAAUUCCAGGUGUAGCGGUGAAAUGCGUAGAGAUCUGGAGGAAUACCGGUGGCGAAGGCGGCCCCCUGGACAAAGACUGACGNNNNNGUGCGAAAGCGUGGGGAGCAAACAGGAUUAGAUACCCUGGUAGUCCACGCUGUAAACGAUGUCGAUUUGGAGGUUGUGCCCUUGAGGCGUGGCUUCCGGAGCUAACGCGUUAAAUCGACCGCCUGGGGAGUACGGCCGCAAGGUUAAAACUCAAAUGAAUUGACGGGGGCCCGCACAAGCGGUGGAGCAUGUGGUUUAAUUCGAUGCAACGCGAAGAACCUUACCUACUCUUGACAUCCAGAGAAUCCUGCAGAGAUGCNGNAGNGCCUUCGGGAACUNUGAGACAGGUGCUGCAUG